CUCCACUGUUGCUAGGAGUCUAAUCUGAGACCGUCCUUGUUGAUUCCUGGGAAUUUACCUAGCACCAGGUUUCUCCCUUACCCCAUAAUGUCUCCCUCUAUCAAGAUAUCUCUUUCACUGAUGAGCCACAUUUUCAAUCAUGGCUGAGAGAUGAAGGUUGUUAUGGAUAACCACACCUGAUCAAAGUGCAGAGGACAAGUGACUCCAUGGUACCCACCCGGACUGACACUUCUACCACAGAACUCCUAGAGCUGAGGCUCGGGGGGGAACACCACAGAGGAGAAGGACAGAAAGACGGUGAGAGCCAGAGGCACAGAAAUUCUGCUGUGGGAUAGUGCGUCCUAGAAACAUCAGGGAAACUAUACGCACGAAGUCGCACCAACAUGACUGCCUAAACAAGAGCUAAACAAGAAAGACACCAUGAGAUAUGCUAACAUGGAAGUGGGCAAUCUUAAGGUAUAGAGCAGUGAUGGAGCACAGUAUGAAGAAUGAUAUCUAACUGAAAGGGAAAGAAUCUGGGAGUUGAUAUCAACAAAGUGGCCCCUUGGGAAAGGACAUCUAAGAUGUGGUAUUGCAACAGGGAAGAAAAAGAAGUCAUGUAAAAGAGAAAAAGAGCAUCAGUGAAGGUGAGGAGGCUGUGAAUACUUGGUGGAAAGACCAAAGUGUCAUGUCAGCUGAAAGACUAGACAACAGAAUAUCUAGUUUUCUCACUAACUUUUGCAUAAGGACAGUUAGUCACGAACUUCACAUGCCACACAGCAUCCCCAGGAGGGUCAGGAAACUGGACCUGGAUGCACUCACAACAACUGAGCUUAGAAAAAGCAUCAGGGAGGGACUGCCAUACUGAAAGGCUGUGGACCACCAGUUAUCCUCUGUGAAAUUAAGAGAACAGAGCUCAGACAAAACACGUUUUUGUCAGGUUUCAUAAGAGAACAAGCA